rnacentral:rRNA from 1 species
UACGAAGGGGGCUAGCGUUGCUCGGAAUUACUGGGCGUAAAGGGCGCGUAGGCGGCCUGCUAAGUCGAACGUGAAAUCCCCGGGCUCAACCCGGGAACUGCGUCCGAUACUGACAGGCUCGAAUCCGGGAGAGGGAUGUGGAAUUCCAGGUGUAGCGGUGAAAUGCGUAGAUAUCUGGAGGAACACCGGUGGCGAAGGCGGCAUCCUGGACCGGUAUUGACGCUGAGGCGCGAAAGCCAGGGGAGCAAACGGG